UAACGCGUGGGAAUCUGCCCUGGAGUGGGGGAUAACCGAGGGAAACCUCGGCUAAUACCGCAUACGUCCUGAGGGAGAAAGAUUUAUCGCUCUAGGAGGGGCCCGCGUCGGAUUAGCUUGUUGGUGGGGUAACGGCUUACCAAGGCGAUGAUCCGUAGGUGGUCUGAGAGGAUGAUCAGCCACACUGGGACUGAGACACGGCCCAGACUCCUACGGGAGGCAGCAGUGGGGAUUUUUGGACAAUGGGCGCAAGCCUGAUCCAGCAAUCCCGCGUGUGUGAUGAAGGCCUUAGGGUUGU
rnacentral:rRNA from 1 species